GACGAACGCUGGCGGCGUGCUUAACACAUGCAAGUCGAACGGUAAGGCCCUUCGGGGUACACGAGUGGCGAACGGGUGAGUAACACGUGGGUGAUCUGCCCUGCACUUCGGGAUAAGCCUGGGAAACUGGGUCUAAUACCGGAUAGGACCACUGCCUGCAUGGGUGGUGGUGGAAAGCUUUUGCGGUGUGGGAUGGGGCCGCGGCCUAUCGGCUUGUUGGUGGGGUGAUGGCCUAACAAGGCGACGACGGGUAGCCGGCCUGAGAGGGUGACCGGCCACACUGGGACUGAGAUACGGCCCAGACUCCUACGGGAGGCAGCAGUGGGGAAUAUUGCACAAUGGGAGCAAGCCUGAUGCAGCGACGCCGCGUGAGGGAUGACGGCCUUCGGGUUGUAAACCUCUUUCAGCACCGACGAAGCGCAAGUGACGGUAGGUGCAGAAGAAGGACUGGCCAACUACGUGCCAGCCGCCGCAGUAA
rnacentral:rRNA from 1 species